UCUCCCCCCGGGCCGCAGCAAAAUUUUCCAAGUCUUCACCGGUCCGUGGUAAUAAAAAGGUUGGGGACCACUGGUCUAGAUGACAAAGAGACAGAAA